CGGCUAGUGGGAAUGAAUGGCCUGGUUUCCAGCUCAGGCCUGCAUUAGUUAACUGGGGAGAUCAAAGCAGUGUAGACUUAGAACAAGGACUUGCCCAUGUUUAAUCAACUUCUACUUUGGAUGUUCUCUGUGGCAACGAUACUACCUGGAGAAAUACGAUUCACCAUGACAUAUGCCUCCGCCAACACCUGGACUUAAAAAGACUAGGCAGUAUAAGCUUACAGAUGCAUGCCUCUUAUCAAAGAAAUUGGUGCAUCCAAAGUAUGGAUCGGAUUUAAAACGAACUUUGAUGAGGGUCAUAUUCCUAUUGAUGUAUGUAUAUUCUCUCCAGGAUGCUUGUAAUUCUCGCAAACCAUGUACUCAGUAUCUCGAAAAUAAAACACAU
rnacentral:lncRNA from 1 species